UUUCCACCGCGCUGCUCUGCUAACCUGCGCGCACCUGAGGAAGGGGAAGUCCGGUGAGAAUCCGGCGCUGUCGCGCAACGGUAUGCCACAAGCUGUGGUGAAGCCCGAAUGCCUCUCAGGGACGCCUCCACCAC
rfam:Deinococcus marmoris strain KOPRI26562 contig-5000013, whole genome shotgun sequence.